CUGUCAAGACUCCUCAUUUGACUCCUAAAAAUGAAGUCCUUGUCUCAGCUCCUGUGGCUGUUAAUGCUCUGGAUCCCUGGAUCCAAUGGAGAUGUUGUGAUGACCCAGACUCCAGUCUCUCUGCCUGUCACCAUGGGGGAGCCGGCCUUCAUCUCCUGCAGGUCUAGUCAGAGCCUCCUACAUAGCAAUGGAAACACAUAUUUGUAUUGGUACCUGCAGAAGCCAGGCCAGUCUCCACGAUUCCUGAUCUAUCAGGUUUCCAACCGAGUAUCUGGAGUCCCAGACAGAUUCACUGGCAGUGGGUCAGGCAGAGAUUUCACAUUGAGAAUCAGUAGGGUAGAAACUGAGGAUGUUGGAGUUUAUUACUCCUUUCAAGCUACACAUAAUCCUCCCACAGUGAUACAGCCCUGA